rnacentral:rRNA from 13 species
CUGAUAAAGAAAGUUAAAAAGAACUCCAAAAUGAGAGCUGGUCCCAAAAUCAAUUUGAUCCAAAAGGGAAGAGUCAAUCCGCUUUUUACUUGUGUGUAGAUUCCAAAAAAAGUCAGAAUGCACUGCAAAAGGAGGAAAUUUAGGCUUGUUUUGAUUGAUCUUUUU